UACGGAGGAUCCAAGCGUUAUCCGGAUUUAUUGGGUUUAAAGGGUGCGUAGGCGGCCUGUUAAGUCAGGGGUGAAAGACGGUAGCUCAACUAUCGCAGUGCCCUUGAUACUGAUGGGCUUGAAUAAACUAGAGGUAGGCGGAAUGUGACAAGUAGCGGUGAAAUGCAUAGAUAUGUCACAGAACACCGAUUGCGAAGGCAGCUUACUAUGGUUUUAUUGACGCUGAGGCACGAAAGCGUGGGGAUCAAACAGG
rnacentral:rRNA from 1 species